rnacentral:rRNA from 1 species
GGCAUAACCCCGGGAAACUGGGGAUAAUUCCGGAUAACGCACAUAUGCUGGAAUGCUUUAUGCGUAAAAUGGAUUCGUCUGCCCAAGGAUGGGUCUGCGGCCUAUCAGGUAGUAGUGGGUGUAAUGUACCUACUAGCCAACAACGGGUACGGGUUGUGAGAGCAAGAGCCCGGAGAUGGAUUCUGAGACAUGAAUCCAGGCCCUACGGGGCGCAGCAGGCGCGAAAACUUUACAAUGCGGGAAACCGUGAUAAGGGGACACCGAGUGCCAGCAUCAUAUGCUGGCUGUCCGGGUGUGUAAAAUACACCCGUUAGCAAGGGCCGGGCAAGACCGGUGCCAGCCGCCGCGGUAACACCGGCGGCCCGAGUGGUGAUCGUGAUUAUUGGGUCUAAAGGGUCCGUAGCCGGUUUGGUCAGUCCUCCGGGAAAUCUGACGGCUCAACCGUUAGGCUUUCGGGGGAUACUGCCAGGCUUGGAACCGGGAGAGGUAAGAGGUACUACAGGGGUAGGAGUGAAAUCUUGUAAUCCCUGUGGGACCACCUGUGGCGAAGGCGUCUUACCAGAACGGGUUCGACGGUGAGGGACGAAAGCUGGGGGCACGAACCGGAUUAGAUACCCGGGUAGUCCCAGCCGUAAACGAUGCUCGCUAGGUGUCAGGCAUGGCGCGACCGUGUCUGGUGCCGCAGGGAAGCCGUGAAGCGAGCCACCUGGGAAGUCCGCCCGCAAGGC